rnacentral:rRNA from 1 species
AUCAACUCCCAAACCCCUGUGAACAUACCUUUUGUUGCCUCGGCGGGAUCGCCCCGGCGCCUCCGGGCCCGGAUCCAGGCGCCCGCCGCAGGACCCUAAACUCUUGUUUUCUAUAUGAAUCUUCUGAGUGACACAAGCAAAUAAAUUAAAACUUUCAACAACGGAUCUCUUGGUUCUGGCAUCGAUGAAGAACGCAGCGAAAUGCGAUAAGUAAUGUGAAUUGCAGAAUUCAGUGAAUCAUCGAAUCUUUGAACGCACAUUGCGCCCGGCAGUAUUCUGCCGGGCAUGCCUGUUCGAGCGUCAUUUCAACCCUCAAGCCCCCGGGCUUGGUGUUGGAGAUCGGCCCGCCCCCGUGGCAGGCCGGCUCCGAAAUCUAGUGGCGGUCCCGCUGUAACUUCCUCUGCGUAGUAGCAAUAUCUCGCACCGGAAAGCGACGGAGCCUUGCCGUAAAACCCCCAACUUCUGAAGGUUGACCUCGGAUCAGGUAGGAAUACCCGCUGAACUUAAGCAUAUCAAUAAGCGGA